rnacentral:rRNA from 1 species
AUUGAACGCUGGCGGCAUGCUUUACACAUGCAAGUCGAACGGUAACAGGCCGCAAGGUGCUGACGAGUGGCGAACGGGUGAGUAAUGCAUCGGAACGUGCCCAGUCGUGGGGGAUAACGCAGCGAAAGCUGCGCUAAUACCGCAUACGAUCUAUGGAUGAAAGCGGGGGACCGUAAGGCCUCGCGCGAUUGGAGCGGCCGAUGUCAGAUUAGGUAGUUGGUGGGGUAAAGGCUCACCAAGCCAACGAUCUGUAGCUGGUCUGAGAGGACGACCAGCCACACUGGGACUGAGACACGGCCCAAACUCCUACGGGAGGCAGCAGUGGGGAAUUUUGGACAAUGGGCGCAAGCCUGAUCCAGCAAUGCCGCGUGCAGGGAGAAGGCCUUCGGGUUGUAAACUGCUUUUGUACGGAACGAAACGGUCCUGGUUAAUACCCGGGGCUAAUGACGGUACCGUAAGAAUAAGCACCGGCUAACUACGUGCCAGCCGCCGCAGUAAAAC